AUUGAACGCUGGCGGCAUGCCUUACACAUGCAAGUCGAACGGCAGCACGGGCUUCGGUCUGGUGGCGAGUGGCGAACGGGUGAGUAAAGUAUCGGAACGUGCCCUAGAGUGGGGGGAUAACGUAGCGAAAGUUACGCUAAUACCGCAUAUUCUAUGCGUAGGAAAGCGGGGGAUCUUCGGACCUCGCGCUCUAGGAGCGGCCGAUAUCAGAUUAGCUAGUUGGUGGGGUAAAGGCCUACCAAGGCGACGAUCUGUAGCGGGUCUGAGAGGAUGGUCCGCCACACUGGGACUGAGACACGGCCCAGACUCCUACGGGAGGCAGCAGUGGGGAAUUUUGGACAAUGGGCGCAAGCCUGAUCCAGCCAUGCCGCGUGAGUGAAGAAGGCCUC
rnacentral:rRNA from 1 species